rnacentral:rRNA from 1 species
UACGUAGGGGGCGAGCGUUUGUCCGGAAUCAUUGGGCGUAAAGCGCGCGUAGGCGGCCCGGUAAGUCCGCUGUAAAAGUCCAGGGCUCAACCCUGGAAAGCCGGUGGAUACUGUCGGGCUCGAGUCCGGAAGAGGCGAGUGGAAUUCCUGGUGUAGCGGUGGAAUGCGCAGAUAUCAGGAGGAACACCGAUGGCGAAGGCGCUCGCUGGGAGGUACUGGACGCUGAGGCGCGAAGCGUGGGGAGCGAACAGGA